rnacentral:rRNA from 2 species
GACGAACGCUGGCGGCGUGCCUAAUACAUGCAAGUCGAGCGAAUUUUCUGGAGCUUGCUCCAGAAAGUUAGCGGCGGACGGGUGAGUAACACGUGGGCAAUCUGCCCGUAAGACUGGGAUAACUCCGGGAAACCGGGGCUAAUACCGGAUAAUCCUGACUCUCUCCUGAGAGUCGGUUGAAAGAUGGUUUCGGCUAUCACUUACGGAUGAGCCCGCGGCGCAUUAGCUAGUUGGUGAGGUAACGGCUCACCAAGGCGACGAUGCGUAGCCGACCUGAGAGGGUGAUCGGCCACACUGGGACUGAGACACGGCCCAGACUCCUACGGGAGGCAGCAGUAGGGAAUCUUCCGCAAUGGACGAAAGUCUGACGGAGCAACGCCGCGUGAGUGAAGAAGGUUUUCGGAUCGUAAAACUCUGUUGUUAGGGAAGAACACGUACGAGAGUAACUGCUCGUACCUUGACGGUACCUAACCAGAAAGCCACGGCUAACUACGUGCCAGCAGCCGCGGUAAUACGUAGGUGGCAAGCGUUGUCCGGAAUUAUUGGGCGUAAAGCGCGCGCAGGUGGUUCCUUAAGUCUGAUGUGAAAGCCCCCGGCUCA